rnacentral:rRNA from 1 species
AUACGGAGGGCGCAAGCGUUAUUCGGAAUCACUGGGCGUAAAGGGUGCGUAGGCGGUUUGAUAAGUCUGAUGUGAAAUCCUAUGGCUCAACCAUAGAACUGCAUUGGAAACUGUCAGACUAGAAUACUGAAGGGGCAGAUGGAAUUAGUGGUGUAGGGGUAAAAUCCGUAGAUAUCACUAGGAAUACCGAAAGCGAAAGCGAUCUGCUGGGAAGUUAUUGACGCUGAGGCACGAAAGCGUGGGGAGCAAACGGGAUUAGAUACCCUAGUAGUCC